rnacentral:rRNA from 1 species
CGCGCAGGCGGCGUCGUAAGUCGGUCUUAAAAGUGCGGGGCUUAACCCCGUGAGGGGACCGAAACUGCGAUGCUAGAGUAUCGGGGAGGAAAGCGGAAUUCCUAGUGUAGCGGUGAAAUGCGUAGAUAUUAGGAGGAACACCAGUGGCGAAAGCGGCUUUCUGGACGACAACUGACGCUGAGGCGCGAAGCCAGGGGAGCAAACG